GAUUGUAUGCUGGCACUCCCCCGAUCCAUUGGAAUGAUACAGAGAAGAUUAGCAUGGCCCCUGCACCUACAUAUUGUAGGGUACCACCUAUGUUU
rnacentral:snRNA from 1 species